GCGGCUUUAGCUCACUUGGGAGAGCGCCAGACUGAAGUUAACUUCGGAUCAUUCAAAGUUUAUCUGGAGGCACUGUGUUCGAUCCACAGAAGCCGCA